rnacentral:rRNA from 1 species
AUGUAUUUAAGGCCCAUGCACCAGCCGUGGACAGUACUGAUCGUUUUGCACGUUCUCCUUCAAACACGCACACAAGCACCUCGAGUUGCCGCGUUCCGUCGCCGCCGCCGUGCCGCGAUGUCCCAGAGCUCAUCUUCCGCUCGUCAUCUCCGGACACCCCCGUGCCCGCUGCCAUUGAUCCUGUGCCCGAGGUGUGCCGGGACGAGGACUAGAUGGUUUGUCUCCGGGACAGACUGGAACCCGGCCGUCCGUUUUUACAAGUGCCCGAACCAGGGAGAUGGAGGCCCGUGCGACUUUUGGUUGUGGGAUGCAUAA